rnacentral:lncRNA from 1 species
AACCGGCAAAUCAUCCCACAAAGAAGCUGCCCAGACCCCAGGGCGCAGGAAGGGCUCUGGAAACACUGUGAUGUUUCCAGAACUGCCUUACAUACAUUGCCUUUCAUUCUCACAACACCCUAAUGAGAGGGGUGGUAUUAUUGCCCUGGCUUAUAGCUAAAAGUACUGACAUUUAAAGAGGUGAAAUCACUUGCCUAAGGUCACAGAGCUAUAAAUGUACUUGACCCCAUGUUUGCCUAACCACCAACCAGUGCUUUGUCAACCAGGUCUCAAAGUUUAGAUGUAAUUCAGAUUACAUUCCGCAUACACACCCUCUCCUCUCACCUCCUCACAGCACACGCAACACGCAGACCUGCCCGACCUUUACCUUCUCCAAGUAUUAAGAGAAUCUCACUUGAUCCUCAAUGGCUCUGACUUUGGUAGAACCUGGUAGAACUUUUCAAACUCACUUUUGGUCUGUGAAGUAAACUACCUCCACCCUCUGACUCCAUAAUCAAUAUGUUCUCCAAUCAUUACAACAUAAUCAAAAGACAAAGAUGUCAGCCCUGGAGAUUCAUGACCAGCUGGCCACAUUCAAGCUGAGUGGAAGGUCAACCAGUCCAACUUCUCAUGUUUCAGAAGAGGAAAGCAAGGUCUGGAGAGGGAACAUGGCUUGCCCAAGGUCAGAGGUAGAGGGAGAUUAAAACUCUGGGUUUUGACUCUCAAUUCCUUGUUCGGUCCUUGACACCUUAAAACUUAAAGUCAAAGAGCUGCCUUAUCCAUUACAGAUAUGUUUCAAACUUUGAUGAAAAGCAGGGAAGUUUGGGAAGAAAAUCCAAGACUUCUCUGGAGAGAGACCAGGAAACAGGCUCAGAGAGAAGAAGGGAAUUAUGUACCUCGGUUUAGAGCCAAAGUGUCCUGCCUGCAUUCCAGCUGUUUCCAUCCAUGUCCCUGUCAACUGGCAUCUGGAACUACUCGUAGCAGCAUCCACUCAAUAUACCAGCCUGGAAGACAACGGAGCUGUCAUUCUGUUAAAAAAUUAAGAGAAGUACGCAGAACCUGCCUUUUUCUAAAUGAGAAGCUUUGGAAGCGACUGGACACUUUUGGCCAUUGCAGUCCACAGAAGGUUACCUGGAGACUUUGGCAAGAGCCACAGCAGUUCCUAAAAGGAAAAGAAACCUCAAAGGAGAAUGUUAAUCUCCCCGAUCAGCUCCAGCUCUCCCUGGAAACAUCCUUUUCUAUGUAACAGCCUAAAUCAUCCCAAAGAGAACAUUCUCCAACAUUAGCGUACCUAACAAUCAACACGGAGAUUUCCAGGACCUGUUCCAGAAACACGGACUCAGUAGGUUUAGGGUGGAAGUUUGGAAUCUGCCUUUUAACCAACUCCCUGCUAUGGACUGACUUGUUUCACCCCAAAAUUCAUAUAUUGAAGCCCUCACCCCUAAUGUGAUGGCAUUUGAAGAUGGGGCCUUUGGGAGGUCAUUAUGUUUAGAUGAGGUCGUGAGGAAGGGAGCCCCAUGAUGGAUGGGAUUAAUGCCCUCAUAAGAAGACAUGCCAGAGAGCUCUCUCUACUCUCAAGUACCCAGGAAAGGCCAUAACAAGACACAGCCAGAAGACAGCUAUCUGCAAGCCAGGAAGCGCCCUCACCAAACAGACAUGGACCCUGCUAGCACCUUGCUCUUGGGCAUUCAGCCUCCAGAAUUGGGAGACGAUCAAUUCCUUCUGUGAAGGUAUUUUAUUAAGGCAGUCAAAGCUGACUGAGAUACUCCCCUGAUCACUGUGAUGUCCAGUGCCGAGGGCCUAUGCUUUGAAAAUCAAUAUUCUAGUCUUAGGCCAAAACUCUCCUCCCUGCUUCCCCAGCCACUCCUUGAGCUUUCUUCUUCCUCAUGGCCCUCUCGGCCUUCUGGACAGGCUUCUUCCUGGGUACAAGUCACAUGAAUGUCACUGACCUGUGACUUUGUCUUUGUUUCCUGAGUGCAUCACACAGUACAUGGCCUAUGGCAGGCAUUCAGAAAGUAUUGAUUUCAUGAAUGAAUAGGUGAAUGAAUGAGUGAGCAAAUGAAUGAAUUUAUAUCACAUAGAAUAAUUAACUUCCCUUUUAGUAUCUCCCUAAUCCUUCCAACUCUAACUUGAGGACGCUAUGACUUGCUUUCAAGAUCAUUUUCCAGGCCUGGUGCGGUGGCUCAUGCCUGUAAUCCCAGCACUUUGGGAGGCUGAGGCAGGUGGAUCACCCGAAGACAGGAGUUCAAGACCAGCCUUGCCAACAUGGUGAAACCCUGUCUCUACUAAAAAUACAAAAAUUUGGCAGGCUUGGUGGCUGGCGCCUGUAAUCCCAGCUACUUGGGAGGCUGAGGCAGGAGAAUUGCUUGGACCCAGGAGGCGGAGGUUGCAGUGAGCUGAGAUCACACCACUGCACUCCAGCCUGGGCAACAAGAGCAAAACUCUGUCUGAAAAUAAAUAAAUAAUAGGAUUAUUUUGCAUCCAUUCUAUUAUUUUGUGGGA